UUGAUCCUGGCUCGAAUGAACGCUGGCGGCAGGCCUAACCAUGCAAGUCGAACGGAGUUAUAUUGUAGCUUGCUAUGGUAUAACUUAGUGGCAGACGGGUGAGUAAUGUAUAGGAAUCUACCUAGUAGUACGGAAUAAUUGUUGGAAACGGCAACUAAUACCGUAUACGCCCUACGGGGGAAAAAUUUAUUGCUAUUAGAUGAGCCUAUAUUAGAUUAGCUAGUUGGUGGAGUAAUAGCCUACCAAGGCAAUGAUCUAUAGCUGAUCUGAGAGGAUGAUCAGCCACACUGGAACUGAGAUACGGUCCAGACUCCUACGGGAGGCAGCAGUGGGGAAUAUUGGACAAUGGGCGAAAGCCUGAUCCAGCCAUGCCGCAUGAGUGAAGAAGGCCUUUGGGUUGUAAGGCUCUUUUAGUGAGGAAGAUAAUGACGGUACUCACAGAAGAAGUCCUGGCUAACUCCGUGCCAGCAGCCGCGGUAAUACGGAGAGGGCUAGCGUUAUUCGGAAUUAUUGGGCGUAAAGGGCGCGUAGGCGGAUUAGUAAGUUAAAAGUGAAAUCCCAAGGCUCAACCUUGGAAUUGCUUUUAAAACUGCUAAUCUAGAGAUUGAAAGAGGAUAGAGGAAUUCCUAGUGUAGAGGUGAAAUUCGUAAAAUAUUAGGAGGAACACCAGUGGCGAAAGCGUCUAUCUGGUUCAAAUCUG
rnacentral:rRNA from 1 species